CGUUAGCAAGGAUACAAGGUAGACGAAUUCCUCGACCACCUCGAAGGUAUCCCCGUCUAUCGUAACACUGCUUCCCAUGCGGGCCCUGUCGCGCUCGGUUCCGCCCACAAGCGGGUGUACAGUUCUGCCACCUUUGCAAAUGUUCGGCCGAUAAUGUCCAUGUCAUCCGCGAAACAAAUAAAUUGACUGGAUCUGUUGAGAAUCGUAUUCCGGCUGUUACACCCGGCUCUCCGCAUGACACCUUUUAGCGCAAUGUUGAACAACACGCACGAAAGUCUAUCAUCUUGUCUUAGUCACCAGCGCGAUUCAAACGAACUGGAGUGUUCGCCCGAAAUCUUCACACAGUUUUGUAAACCAUCCACCGUUGCUUUGAUCAGUCUGGUAAGCUUCCCAGGGAAUCUGUUCUCAUCCAUAAUUUUCCAUAGCUCUACGCGGUCUAUACUGUCGUAUGCCGCCUUGAAAUCAACGAACAGAUGGUGCGUUGGGACCUGGUAUUCACGGCAUUUUUGAAGGAUUUGUCGUACAGUAAAGAUCUGGUCCGUUGUCGAGUGGCCGUCAACGAAGCCGGCUUGAUAACUUUCCACGAACGCUUUCACUAAUGGUGACAGACGUCGGAAGAUGAUUGUAACCUGCGGCUACCAAUGUUACUCGCGGCUCCUCCGCAAGCGAUGGUUUCCUGUUCUUCAACCCACCGAGUAAUAAUCCCAUCUCAUGUUAGUGAGAAGAUGAGAUCCUUCUCACUAAGAUAAAAUGGUAAAGACCGAUUGCAUAUACGCGUCACUCAGUCAUUCAUUUACAGCGGUUUGAGCGUGAGCAUAAAAAAUAGAACGCUCACCACUUCGUUCAUUUGCUCUCCGUUGUCUCAGGAGAGAAUGGUUGCCAAAUUGAAAGAACAACAUCGGCUUGGUUCGUUGUUCGAUCGUAAUUAAUUAUUAAAUAAAAUAGCUCAGCUUGAUUCCGAACGAGGAUAGUCUGUCCGUGACCUCCUACGGGAAUCGUAGUGCGCGCCGGAAAAAUUAAACUUAAAUUGAAGUGGUAACCAGUUAAACCAAGUUAAACUGAAGAAGAUUUCUAAGUGCUAAUCUCGAAGUUAGUGUGUGGUCUAGACAAAGUAGUACGGAAAACAAUAGUACGGGAAUAAUUGUGAUAGUACGCUUAAAGAUCUAAACCACCACACGUGGCAAAUCGUAAUCAACCAAAUUGUAAAAUCAUCAUUAUCUACAAGAAAAAGGUCCGUUUAGUGGCCUUUUUCUUCUUUUUUGUGUUGCUUGGCAGGACGGUAAUCGCUGGAAGUGGGUUCGGUGGCUUUCCGACGCGCACGGGCAUCCCUCACGCCUAAACGAGGUCUGUGGAACGACAGUGGGCAUUCCAUCGCCCGAGCAAACGACCAUCUCGUCAACCCGGUAGCCAACAGCCGGCCGACGAAGCAGCCAUCGCUAUUAGCCACACGUGAACCACCUUGUCGCCCCGGUAGCCAACAGCCGGCCGGCGAAUCAGCCAUCGCUAUUAGCCACACGUGAACCACCUUGUCGCCCCGGUAGCCAGAAACCGGCCGACGAAUCCGUCAUCGCUAUUAGCCAGCUGUGUGCCCGUUUCAAUCAACCAUCGUGUCGCCCGGUAGCCAAAAGCCGGUCGGCAAUUCCGUCGUCGCAUCAGUCACACGUCCGCCCAGCCAAGCAACCCUCUCGUCAGCCUGCCGAGCCGCCAUCGCUGUAAGCCACCAGUUCGCUGAGCAAACCUCCUGCAACCAGCAUUGUUCUCUGUCAAGCCGGUGGAGCGAACCAGAAGGUCCACGUGUCACCAUCGCAUCGCUGCCUACGCUGAAUCAACGUCCGAUCGUCGCCACGACGGUGAGAUUGGAGU